UUAUUGGUGGGAAGUUUCACUCUCUUCUCUCUGUUAUUUUGGAUCUGUGGAAUGCUCCUCUCUUUCCUUGAACUAGGUAAAGAAAAUGGCUAGGGAGAAGAUUCAGAUCAAGAAGAUAGAUAACGCCACGGCAAGGCAAGUUUCUAAACGCCGAAGAGGGCUUUUCAAGAAAGCUGAGGAGCUUUCCGUCCUCUGUGAUGCUGAUGUUGCUCUCAUCGUCUUCUCCUCUACUGGCAAGCUAUUUGAGUACUGCAGCUCUAGCAUGAAGGAAAUACUAGAAAAGCAUGACUUGCACUCGAAGAAUCUUGAGAAGCUAGAACAACCAUCUCUAGAGUUGCAGUUGGUAGAGGACAGCAACCACUCCAGGUUGAGCAAGGAGAUUGCAGAGAAAAGCCAUCAACUGAGACAAAUGAGGGGAGAAGAGCUCCAAGGAUUAAAUAUAGAAGAGUUGCAGCAACUAGAAAAGUCUCUUGAAGCUGGCUUAAGCCGUGUGAUUGAAAAGAAGGGAGAGAAAAUUAUAAAAGAAAUCAGGGAACUUCAAACAAAGGGAAUGCAAUUAAUGGAAGAGAAUGAACGACUUCGACAACAAGUGGUGGAGAUAUCUAAUGGCCGAAAGCAGGCUGCUGCUGAUUCAGAGAAUUUGGUUUAUGAGGAAGGGCAGUCGUCGGAGUCUGUAACCAAUGUCUGCAACUCAAAUGGUCCUCCACACGACUAUGAAAGCUCAGAUACGUCCCUCAAGCUGGGGUUACCGUACAACGGAUAAAGGGGAGGUUGAAGGAGGAAUGAAGAGAAG
rnacentral:misc_RNA from 1 species